rnacentral:rRNA from 1 species
CAGUAGCCACGGUAAUACGGAGGGUGCAAGCGUUACUCGGAAUCACUGGGCGUAAAGGACGCGUAGGCGGAUUAUCAAGUCUCUUGUGAAAUCUAACGGCUUAACCGUUAAACUGCUUGGGAAACUGAUAACCUAGAGUAAGGGAGAGGCAGAUGGAAUUCUUGGUGUAGGGGUAAAAUCCGUAGAUAUCAAGAAGAAUACCUAUUGCGAAGGCGAUCUGCUGGAACUUAACUGACGCUAAUGCGUGAAAGCGUGGGUAGCGAGCAGGAUUAGAUACCCCGGUAGUCCCUGUCUCUUAUAC